UCCCAGAUCCUUCUUUGCCACCUACUUUUUCCAGUUCUUGCGACGGGUUGCAAGAGUUACACGUUCAGGGGGGCGAUGGCUUUGAAACCCUUAUGGUGGACAAGCACGGCGAAGAUUUGAUCAUUCAUCUGAGGUGCCCAUGUAGCAAGGGAUAUAACUUUGCUAUUUCGGUGGGCGAGGAAAACUAUUUGCGGGAGAUGACUUGCGGAUGAGACGAGUUGUUUGGUUUUUGAAGAAGACGAGGGAAGGGAAGAAAACCACAACCAGAAUAAAAGCAACAAUAUUUAGAACAACAAUGCAACUAUGGUUUCUUUUCUUUUGCUGUCUGUCUCCAUGGUGAAAUAAUCAUACUAAGUGUGUAAAUUUAC